rnacentral:lncRNA from 1 species
CUAACCCACCAACGUGCCUGUCUCAACAAGAACAUGAAGAACUGGCUGGCUUGACUGGGUCAAUAUAAGGUAAGAAAACCAUUGGGGAGGUUUUUGAUAUAUGGUGUUAGGGCUAAAGAGAAGAGUGAUGAUGUAAUCACACGACUCUACUUCCAACAGAAAUUAUUUUUUAUCUUGCUAGAUCCAACUGCAUCAGUUUGAGGAUUAUAAUAGAUAGAGGGAGGCACUGAUACUCAGGAAACUAUUUCAAUUCCUAUGAAUUUGACUUGCAUACUGAUAAGAAAAUAAGGGACUUGAUAGUCACUCAUCUCGUGUGUCUAAACUAGGACUAAGUGCUGCUCUGUUGCCUAGAAGUAGAGUAGUCCCAUCACUACUUGCCUUUCCUUCUUCCUGGGAAUGGACAGAAGGGGAAGCCCUGGCAGAGAUAUUCCAGCUUUCUGCUCUUGAGUUUUAAAGAAAAUACACUUUGGCUUCAAGAGAAUACUGCAUCUCUGAUUCAAAAUUUAAAACAGCGAAGAGAAACGUUAUUAGAUAGCUUGGUCACGUCUGCCCCCUAGUGGCCAGUGCUCUGCUAAAUGGAGAGGAUGCUGAGGGUAAAAUUUGGAAGCCUGAAUAAAAACUGCAAAGGAUUCUAAUUCUUAAAAAAGCGAUCACAAUAGAAAAAUUUUAAAAUUAAAUAAUUUUAUAAAAGGUAUGCAAUAUUUAAAUGGAAGACAAUUUGCUCUUGAUGUUGAAUAUGUGAUAGUACUUAGAAAUGCUGUGUUCUGUGUUACCUUUUGUUACUUCUGGCAUUAGAUCAGACUUACUAUUCACGCAUGGUGGCAUUUUAAGCUAACAUGAAUGUGUCCCAUUUGAGCAUGUUUGCUAAUAUGCAUAAUAGAAAUUUGAAUGUGUCCUACUUAGGACUUAUGGUGAUCAAUGAGCACAUAAUAUGGGUGCUUUUCAUAAAUGUGAUCCCCAAUUACAUUACUUUUGGAUAAUGAGUAUUGAACCCACUUAUACGUGAGUUAAUUUGUACAGGAAAAUUACACUCCUGUGGAACUGGAGAAACAUUAUGUUUCAAGUGCCACGUUCCUUCAAUUUUAAUUUAUAUUUGAUUUAGGAUUAUUCUAUAUGAACCG